UACGUAGGGUGCGAGCGUUGUCCGGAAUUACUGGGCGUAAAGAGCUCGUAGGUGGUUUGUCGCGUUUGUCCGUGAAAUUCCCUGGCUUAACUGGGGGGCGUGCGGGCGAUACGGGCAGACUGGAGUACUGCAGGGGGAGACUGGAAUUCCUGGUGUAGCGGUGAAAUGCGCAGAUAUCAGGAGGAACACCGGUGGCGAAGGCGGGGUCUC
rnacentral:rRNA from 1 species